CCUGCAGCCUCGUACAUAAGAAAGCAAGCAACAGCUCCACCUUCCAACUACAGAGGGCCAUUUGCAGCUACAGCCUCUCAAUGAAAAUGUCUCACAUGAUGAUUUGACUUUUAACAACAUUUAUCGUACAAUUGAACUGUGUUUUGACCUUUUGACCUUUCACAGUCCCUCAGUACCAGCAGCUCCACUCACAGCCUGAAGCCUCUUCUUACCAAACCCCACCUGCUCCUUCCACCCUCAGCCUCCACCUGCAACCUCCAACAGCACCGCCUCAUCCUCCACCUGAAGACCUCAGUACCCACAUCCAGCUGAAGAGCCUUUUGUAAACCAGCCUCUGCUCCAGCUGCCUCCUGCUCCUUCCAGUCUCAUCCCCAGCCUCCACCUAAAGCCUCUGCAGGCCUGCUGCCCCUGUAGCCACUGCCUACAGCCUGUGGCAGUCACCCUAAGCCUCCACCUGCAGCUACUGCAUCAGCUGAGCCCUCUGUAUGCAAGUCCCGUUCACCAACUGCAGCCUCCGCCUCCACCUCUUCCUACCAGCUACAGCCACAGCCUCCACCUGCCUGACAGCUACCUGCCUCCUCAGCCACAGCAGCAAUCCCCAGCCUCCACCUGCAGCUACUGCCUGUAAGUUGCAGCCUAAGGCCUUCCCUUUAAGGAGAAGAGCGAAAUUCAUUUGUGUAAGACAAAGGAUAACAGACACACAAGGCAACAUGAAAAAAGUCAAAUAAAAUAAACAAGUUAAUGUAGGAUAAAAGACGAAGUAGCAGAAUAAAAGUUACAGCACAGCUACAGUGAAGCUAAAGACAGUAGCUUAAUCCUUUAUCUGAUCUUUUAGGGCUUCAGUCUCAGCCACAGCCCCCAUGUGCAGCUUCAGGAUCAGCGUCAC